UUACUUCAAGUAAGCACCCCUACAUUUGUUCAAUUUUCCGACCUGCUCUCUACAAUGGCACUGUUGCUAAUCCACCCAUCUACAGAGAAUCAUUUCUAUAGUAAAUCGUCCCACCUGAUUUUUUCGCAUUAGCGACUGAAUCCCCAACCUUGCUGAUGACCACCAUGUCCACAGCGCCCUAGAGUGAAACCUGUUAUACUCUCGUCCGCAUCGCUACGGGUUAUAUGAUGCUGGAGGCUUCGGCCACUGUUUCGUAUACUUGUCUCGAUCAAGGGAGUGGUGAUGAUCUUGACCUUGCCCUGGCGUCUUGACUUCGGUCGGCCUGGUUUGGUGGGCGCUGUGGAGGUCUGAAAGGUCCUACGCUAUUCUUCCCCCCUCUGCUGCUUCCCCGAUUUUAUCUAUCGGGGUUUUUCAUGAGUUUAUCAGGCCUGUAGCUAGCACAUUAUCUCACCGUAUAGAGAAACCAUUUGAAAUUUGAAUUCAAUUUCAGGAAAAUUAGUUUCGUCUUGCGCUACUCUGUUCAUUCUCGUAAAUCUCAUACGGUGCCGUUGACCGUCCAUUACUGAGGUCAUGGAGCAAGAAAUUUUUUCUCUUAAUUGUACUAUGGGGAAUUAAUCCCAACGACCUACGUUAUGUAUAUUCCUGUGUCGCAAUAGGUGAAUCUCAACUAUCCUCCCGUUGGUACGAUAACAUCAUUUUGUGUCUUAUAAUACAUUUAAAGUACUAGAUAUGAAUGUUGUCGCUCUUCGUCAUUUAGAGGUGCCGAUUUUAUUUCCCCCACC
rnacentral:sRNA from 1 species